AGUGAACGCUGGCGGUAGGCCUAACACAUGCAAGUCGAACGGCAGCACAGUAAGAGCUUGCUCUUACGGGUGGCGAGUGGCGGACGGGUGAGGAAUACAUCUGAAUCUACUUUUUCGUGGGGGAUAACGUAGGGAAACUUACGCUAAUACCGCAUACGACCUACGGGUGAAAGCAGGGGAUCUUCGGACCUUGCGCGAUUGAAUGAGCCGAUGUCGGAUUAGCUAGUUGGCGGGGUAAAGGCCCACCAAGGCGACGAUCCGUAGCUGGUCUGAGAGGAUGAUCAGCCACACUGGAACUGAGACACGGUCCAGACUCCUACGGGAGGCAGCAGUGGGGAAUAUUGGACAAUGGGCGCAGGCCUGAUCCAGCCAUACCGCGUGGGUGAAGAAGGCCUUCGGGUUGUAAAGCCCUUUUGUUGGGAAAGAAAAGCAGCAGGUUAAUACCCCGCUGUUCUGACGGUACCCAAAGAAUAAGCACCGGCUAACUUCGUG
rnacentral:rRNA from 1 species